rnacentral:rRNA from 1 species
GACGAACGCUGGCGGCGUGCCUAAUACAUGCAAGUUGAGCGAUGAAGAUUGGUGCUUGCACCAAUUUGAAGAGCAGCGAACGGGUGAGUAACGCGUGGGGAAUCUGCCUUUGAGCGGGGGACAACAUUUGGAAACGAAUGCUAAUACCGCAUAACAACUUUAAACAUAAGUUUUAAGUUUGAAAGAUGCAAUUGCAUCACUCAAAGAUGAUCCCGCGUUGUAUUAGCUAGUUGGUGAGGUAAAGGCUCACCAAGGCGAUGAUACAUAGCCGACCUGAGAGGGUGAUCGGCCACAUUGGGACUGAGACACGGCCCAAACUCCUACGGGAGGCAGCAGUAGGGAAUCUUCGGCAAUGGACGAAAGGCUGACCGAGCAACGCCGCGUGAGUGAAGAAGGGUUUCGGAUCGUAAAACUCUGUUGGUAGAGAAGAACGUUGGUGAGAGUGGAAAGCUCAUCAAGUGACGGUAACUACCCAGAAAGGGACGGCUAACUACGUG